AACGAACGCUGGCGGCAUGCCUAACACAUGCAGGUCGAACGAGACCUUCGGGUCUAGUGGCGCACGGGUGCGUAACGCGUGGGGACCUGCCCUUAGGUUCGGAAUAACUCCCCGAAAGGGGUGCUAAUACCGGAUAAUGUCUUCGGACCAAAGAUUUAUCGCCUUUGGAUGGGCCCGCGUUGGAUUAGCUAGUUGGUAGGGUAAAAGCCUACCAAGGCGACGAUCCAUAGCUGGUCUGAGAGGAUGAUCAGCCACACUGGGACUGAGACACGGCCCAGACUCCUACGGGAGGCAGCAGUGGGGAAUAUUGGACAAUGGGCGAAAGCCUGAUCCAGCAAUGCCGCGUGAGUGAUGAAGGCCUUAGGGUUGUAAAGCUCUUUUACCCGGGAUGAUAAUGACAGUACCGGGAGAAUAAGCUCCGGCUAACUCCGUG
rnacentral:rRNA from 1 species